UACGUAGGGGGCAAGCGUUGUCCGGAAUCAUUGGGCGUAAAGAGCGCGUAGGCGGUCCGGUAAGUCGGUUGUGAAAACUGGGGGCUCAACCCUCAGAGGCCGACCGAUACUGUCGGGCUAGAGUCCGGAAGAGGCGAGUGGAAUUCCUGGUGUAGCGGUGAAAUGCGCAGAUAUCAGGAGGAACACCAAUGGCGAAGGCAGCUCGCUGGGACGGUACUGACGCUGAGGCGCGAAAGCUAGGGGAGCAAACGGG
rnacentral:rRNA from 1 species